GGGGAUCAUGGUGGGGAGCGGAAAUGAACAUUACGACGCGGUAACGUUUUUUUUUAUAUUUUUUCAAUGUAGCUGAUUGUCCUGAGCAACGUCAAAUCGUUUCCUGAUUACGACACUAGAGGCUUGGAGGGCUCUCGUCAAAUACGAAUGCGUCUAAUUGACAGUGUGAGACCAUAGAAACAACUAAGUGGAACUACGUUCUUCAUCAUGGAAAUCUGACCAGAACUGGACUUGGGAGACCAAGUGGGGGACCUGGACAUGGACAUCCGCCAACUCCUGGACAGUCUGUGGUGCAAUGUGCCGUUGGAUGGAGGGUGUUGGAGCGAGAAUUGGAUUCAAGUCUGGGGAACAGGCCGGAUAGUACAUAGCAUCAAUCCCUUCGUCUUGCACGAACUGCUGACACACUCUAGCCACCUGAGUCUGUGUAGGCUCUCAGUCGUACAGGAGUUGUCCAUCGAGGGAAAGGCUUCUUGAGACGUCAUCUGUACUUCUGUGAAGACGGUGU